rnacentral:rRNA from 1 species
UACGGAGGAUGCAAGCGUUAUCCGGAAUGAUUGGGCGUAAAGCGUCCGCAGGCGGCAGUUCAAGUCUGCUGUCAAAGACCGGGGCUUAACUUCGGAAAGGCAGUGGAAACUGAACAGCUAGAGUAUGGUAGGGGCAGAGGGAAUUCCUGGUGUAGCGGUGAAAUGCGUAGAUAUCAGGAAGAACAUCGGUGGCGAAGGCGCUCUGCUGGACCAUAACUGACACUCAGGGACGAAAGCUAGGGGAGCGAAUGGG